rnacentral:rRNA from 1 species
AAACCAACAAGCUUGCUUGUUGGGGUUGUAGGACACUCUAUACGGAGUUACAAAGGACGACAUUAGACGAAUCAUCUGGAAAGAUGAAUCAAAGAAGGUAAUAAUCCUGUAGUCGAAAAUGUUGUCUCUCUUGAGUGGAUCCUGAGUACGACGGAGCACGUGAAAUUCCGUCGGAAUCUGGGAGGACCAUCUCCUAAGGCUAAAUACUCUCUAGUGACCGAUAGUGAACCAGUACCGUGAGGGAAAGGUGAAAAGCACCCCGGAAGGGGAGUGAAAUAGAACCUGAAACCGUGUGCUUACAAGUAGUCAGAGCCCGUUAAUGGGUGAUGGCGUGCCUUUUGUAGAAUGAACCGGCGAGUUACGAUUUGAUGCAAGGUUAAGCAGUAAAUGUGGAGCCGUAGCGAAAGCGAGUCUGAAUAGGGCGUUUAGUAUUUGGUCGUAGACCCGAAACCAGGUGAUCUACCCUUGGUCAGGUUGAAGUUCAGGUAACACUGAAUGGAGGACCGAACCGACUUACGUUGAAAAGUGAGCGGAUGAACUGAGGGUAGCGGAGAAAUUCCAAUCGAACCUGGAGAUAGCUGGUUCUCUCCGAAAUAGCUUUAGGGCUAGCCUCAAGUGAUGAUUAUUGGAGGUAGAGCACUGUUUGGACGAGGGGCCCCUCUCGGGUUACCGAAUUCAGACAAACUCCGAAUGCCAAUUAAUUUAACUUGGGAGUCAGAACAUGGGUGAUAAGGUCCGUGUUCGAAAGGGAAACAGCCCAGACCACCAGCUAAGGUCCCAAAAUAUAUGUUAAGUGGAAAAGGAUGUGGCGUUGCCCAGACAACUAGGAUGUUGGCUUAGAAGCAGCCAUCAUUUAAAGAGUGCGUAAUAGCUCACUAGUCGAGUGACACUGCGCCGAAAAUGUACCGGGGCUAAACAUAUUACCGAAGCUGUGGAUUGUCCUUUGGACAAUGGUAGGAGAGCGUUCUAAGGGCGUUGAAGCAUGAUCGUAAGGACAUGUGGAGCGCUUAGAAGUGAGAAUGCCGGUGUGAGUAGCGAAAGACGGGUGAGAAUCCCGUCCACCGAUUGACUAAGGUUUCCAGAGGAAGGCUCGUCCGCUCUGGGUUAGUCGGGUCCUAAGCUGAGGCCGACAGGCGUAGGCGAUGGAUAACAGGUUGAUAUUCCUGUACCACCUAUAAUCGUUUUAAUCGAUGGGGGGACGCAGUAGGAUAGGCGAAGCGUGCGAUUGGAUUGCACGUCUAAGCAGUAAGGCUGAGUAUUAGGCAAAUCCGGUACUCGUUAAGGCUGAGCUGUGAUGGGGAGAAGACAUUGUGUCUUCGAGUCGUUGAUUUCACACUGCCGAGAAAAGCCUCUAGAUAGAAAAUAGGUGCCCGUACCGCAAACCGACACAGGUAGUCAAGAUGAGAAUUCUAAGGUGAGCGAGCGAACUCUCGUUAAGGAACUCGGCAAAAUGACCCCGUAACUUCGGGAGAAGGGGUGCUCUUUAGGGUUAACGCCCAGAAGAGCCGCAGUGAAUAGGCCCAAGCGACUGUUUAUCAAAAACACAGGUCUCUGCUAAACCGUAAGGUGAUGUAUAGGGGCUGACGCCUGCCCGGUGCUGGAAGGUUAAGAGGAGUGGUUAGCUUCUGCGAAGCUACGAAUCGAAGCCCCAGUAAACGGCGGCCGUAACUAUAACGGUCCUAAGGUAGCGAAAUUCCUUGUCGGGUAAGUUCCGACCCGCACGAAAGGCGUAACGAUUUGGGCACUGUCUCAACGAGAGACUCGGUGAAAUCAUAGUACCUGUGAAGAUGCAGGUUACCCGCGACAGGACGGAAAGACCCCGUGGAGCUUUACUGUAGCCUGAUAUUGAAAUUCGGCACAGCUUGUACAGGAUAGGUAGGAGCCUUUGAAACGUGAGCGCUAGCUUACGUGGAGGCGCUGGUGGGAUACUACCCUAGCUGUGUUGG